CCUACGGGGGGCUGCAGUCGAGGAUCUUCGGCAAUGGGGGCAACCCUGACCGAGCGAUGCCGCGUGCGCGAUGAAGGCCUUCGGGUUGUAAAGCGCGAAAAGAAAACGAGUCUAUCCUCAGUAAGCUCGGGCUAAGUUCGUGCCAGCAGCCGCGGUAAGACGAACCGAGCGAACGUUGUUCGGAAUCACUGGGCUUAAAGGGCGCGUAGGCGGGCUGUCAAGUCUGGGGUGAAAUCCCGCGGCUCAACCGUGGAACUGCCUCAGAUACUGACGGCCUCGAGGGAGAUAGGGGCGAGCGGAACUAAUGGUGGAGCGGUGAAAUGCGUUGAUAUCAUUAGGAACUCCGGUGGCGAAGGCGGCUCGCUGGAUUUUCUGACGCUGAGGCGCGAAAGCUAGGGGAGCAAACGGGAUUAGAUACCCUUGUAGUC
rnacentral:rRNA from 1 species